rnacentral:rRNA from 1 species
ACGCUUCUUUUUCCACCGGAGCUUGCUCCACCGGAAAAAGAGGAGUGGCGAACGGGUGAGUAACACGUGGGUAACCUGCCCAUCAGAAGGGGAUAACACUUGGAAACAGGUGCUAAUACCGUAUAACAAUCGAAACCGCAUGGUUUUGAUUUGAAAGGCGCUUUCGGGUGUCGCUGAUGGAUGGACCCGCGGUGCAUUAGCUAGUUGGUGAGGUAACGGCUCACCAAGGCCACGAUGCAUAGCCGACCUGAGAGGGUGAUCGGCCACAUUGGGACUGAGACACGGCCCAAACUCCUACGGGAGGCAGCAGUAGGGAAUCUUCGGCAAUGGACGAAAGUCUGACCGAGCAACGCCGCGUGAGUGAAGAAGGUUUUCGGAUCGUAAAACUCUGUUGUUAGAGAAGAACAAGGAUGAGAGUAACUGUUCAUCCCUUGACGGUAUCUAACCAGAAAGCCACGGCUAACUACGUGCCAGCAGCCGCGGUAAUACGUAGGUGGCAAGCGUUGUCCGGAUUUAUUGGGCGUAAAGCGAGCGCAGGCGGUUUCUUAAGUCUGAUGUGAAAGCCCCCGGCUCAACCGGGGAGGGUCAUUGGAAACUGGGAGACUUGAGUGCAGAAGAGGAGAGUGGAAUUCCAUGUGUAGCGGUGAAAUGCGUAGAUAUAUGGAGGAACACCAGUGGCGAAGGCGGCUCUCUGGUCUGUAACUGACGCUGAGGCUCGAAAGCGUGGGGAGCAAACAGGAUUAGAUACCCUGGUAGUCCACGCCGUAAACGAUGAGUGCUAAGUGUUGGAGGGUUUCCGCCCUUCAGUGCUGCAGCUAACGCAUUAAGCACUCCGCCUGGGGAGUACGACCGCAAGGUUGAAACUCAAAGGAAUUGACGGGGGCUCGCACAAGCGGUGGAGCAUGUGGUUUAAUUCGAAGCAACGCGAAGAACCUUACCAGGUCUUGACAUCCUUUGACCACUCUAGAGAUAGAGCUUCCCCUU